GAAUCUAGAAGAGACUUCCAAGCCCAUGAAGACAUGGAGCACUCAGAAGGCCUGUAUAACGAAAAGAUCCUAAGAGGAAUCGGGAUGGAACCAUGUAAGAUUUCCAUACCACACAUCUCAACUCCACCAGGUCUUGCCGAGGAAGUAUCAAUUGAGCGGAACGGAAUCGAUUUCCGGAUAAGUAUUGCUACUCCGCCACCAGCUCUUCCGUCCCCUCUGUCCUUCCUAAUGAUGUUGAAGUGCCUGAUUUUAAUUUGUUGCUCAGAUCUCCACCAAGUCUCCGAGAUACACAGAACGUGAGCAUCCUUGGCAAGAAUCUGAAGCUCAGUCAAAGACGACCUCAAGCUGCGAGCAUUACACUGGAUAAUGUUUAGGUUCUCUUUUGGCGACAUCGUAACAAUCACAAGGAUAAAUCACGGACAUCUAAAGGAGUCAGCGCAGUGACCUGGGGCAGAGCAAUUAACGCAAUAUUGAGACGCGGAUCCGCAAACAUUAUCAGCAUGACCCUCGCCACAAUUAGCACAUCUUAAAGAGCUCCUGCAUUUGGAAGAGACGUGUCCAAAACGUUGGCAGGAGAAACACCGGAUAACUGGUGGAAUGUAGAUUUCAAUAGGGCAUUUUACUAGCCAGAUGUUAAUGCUGUUCGGCAGGGUGUAGCCAGCAAACACCACCUUAACAGCCGAUGAAGGGACUCUUACUUUGGACCCAGUUGAAUCUAUGAAUCUAUAUCUGCCGUAUCAGGAAGGCAGGCAGUCAACAGGCCCUCUUUGAAGAAUCCAAAGAUAAUACAGGGAAAAACACACCCGACUCAGUCCAGAAAAGCCAGGAUGGAAAACCACGUGUUUAACUACGGCAGACCACACCGACAUGAGGA